rnacentral:rRNA from 1 species
GUCUUUUUAGUAUUUAAUAUAAAGUCUGACCUGCCCACUGAAUAUAGUUUGAAGGGCCGCAGUAUUUUGACUGUGCAAAGGUAGCAUAAUCAUUAGUCUUUUAAUUGGAGGCUGGUAUGAAUGGUUGGAUGAGAUACAAGCUGUGUCAUAUAAAUUAAUAUUUGAAUUUAACUUUUUAGUCAAAAGGCUAAAAUAAUUUUAAAAGACGAGAAGACCCCAUAGAGCUUUAUAUAAUAAAUAUUUAAUUUAUUAAGAUUUUUUAAAUUUAGUUAUUUUAUUGUAUUUUGUUGGGGUGACAAUAAAAUUUAUAAAACUUUUAUUUUUAUUUAACAUUAAUUUAUGUUUAAAUGAUCCAGUUUUAUUGAUUAUAAAUUUAAGUUACCUUGGGGAUAACAGCGUAAUUUUUUUUGAGAGUUCUUAUCGACAAAAAAGAUUGCGACCUCGAUGUUGGAUUAAGAGUAAUUUUGGGUGUAGAAGUUCAAAGUUUAAGUCUGUUCGACUUUUAAAUUCUUACAU